GCCCUGUGAUAGCUCAGUCGGUAGGGCAUGAGACUCUUAAUCCCAGGGUCAAUGUGGGUCAUUGCCCCGCACUGGGCA